AGAGUUUGAUCCUGGCUCAGAUUGAACGCUGGCGGCAUGCUUUACACAUGCAAGUCGAACGGCAGCGGGGGCUUCGGCCUGCCGGCGAGUGGCGAACGGGUGAGUAAUGCAUCGGAACGUGCCCAGUCAUGGGGGAUAACUACGCGAAAGCGUAGCUAAUACCGCAUACGCCCUGAGGGGGAAAGCGGGGGAUCGCAAGACCUCGCGUGAUUGGAGCGGCCGAUGUCGGAUUAGCUAGUUGGUGGGGUAAAGGCCUACCAAGGCGACGAUCCGUAGCGGGUCUGAGAGGAUGAUCCGCCACACUGGGACUGAGACACGGUCCAGACUCCUACGGGAGGCAGCAGUGGGGAAUAUUGGACAAUGGGCGAAAGCCUGAUCCAGCCAUGCCGCGUGUGUGAAGAAGGUCUUCGGAUUGUAAAGCACUUUAAGUUGGGAGGAAGGGCAGUAAGCUAAUACCUUGCUGUUUUGACGUUACCGACAGAAUAAGCACCGGCUAACUUCGUGCCAGCAGCCGCGGUAAUA
rnacentral:rRNA from 1 species